AAGUAACUUCCCCAAACUCUUUAUUUUAGAUUGAGCUCAGUGAAAUACCCAGAGCUACUUUAACUAUUGUAACUAAAUCUGCAGGGACCAGAACCAUCACUCCAGUGUAGCAAGCUGUACACAAGAAUAUCUUUGUAAAAGCAAGGGGUCAGCUCCAUCAGAACACUGUGUUACACAGACAUCAAGACAAAUGAAUACAGCCGAUCGUAUUAAAAUAAAAUAUGAAAGUAAAGAGUUUACUUGACGGCAGAUGUGCAUCAAGGAGUCUGUUGACAAAGAGCAGGCUAUUUACAAAAUUUUAAACGACUAGAAUUUCCACUUGGCAACAUAUCCUUGGAGGCUGCUUCAAGUUUUCAAGUUCUGUUUGU
ensembl:lncRNA